UACGUAGGGGGCAAGCGUUGUCCGGAUUUAUUGGGCGUAAAGAGCGUGUAGGCGGCUUCACGGGUCCGCUGUGAAAACUCGAGGCUCAACCUCGAGCUGUCGGUGGAAACCGUGUGGCUAGAGUCCGGAAGAGGAGAGUGGAAUUCCCGGUGUAGCGGUGAAAUGCGCAGAUAUCGGGAAGAACACCCGUGGCGAAGGCGGCUCUCUGGGACGGUACUGACGCUGAGACGCGAAAGCGUGGGGAGCGAACAGG
rnacentral:rRNA from 1 species